rnacentral:rRNA from 1 species
GUCUACAGCCAUGUCACCCUGAACGUGCCUGAUCUUGUCUUAUCUCAGAAGCUAAGCAGGGUCAGACCUGGUUAGUACUUGGAUGGGAGACCACCUUGGAAUACUAAGUGCUGUAGGCG